CCGGAAGUCGCGCUGGACCGGCGAGCCCCGCAGGCAGCCCAGGUUCCGGCCCGCGCCUCUCCCUCCACACCUCCCCGCCAGCAGAGGGAGCCCGCUCAGGCCUCAGCCAGCACAGAGAGGGGCUCCCACGGUGCAGCUGCGGGCUGAAGGGCUCCUCAAGCGCGGCCAGAGUGGGCUGAGGCCGAGGAGGUGCCGAGAGCCAGCGAGGGAUGCCAGCAAGCUGUCACCUCUCAGAAAUACAGGAAGAACAUCAAUAAUGUUCGAAGUUAUAAAGUAGUAGGUUUCUAUCAAGAGUAAAACAUAAACGAAGUUAUAAAGUAGUAGGUUUCUAUCAAGAAUAAAACAUAAACGAUCAAAGAAUUCCUUAUAAAAACAUUUUUUAUUUCUAGGAAUCAAAACAUAAAUAUAAAAUUUGAGAGUCCACCAAAAAAAAUUAGAUGCCAGAUUUCACUAUAAUUAUCAGGGAAGCGCCCAAAUGGGUUGUUUACGGCGCCUCGGGGAAACUUUCUGUUUCGUGUUAAGGGUCUUGAACCAUGAUGUUUAGAAAACCAUGGGCUGAUGCUUUCAGAACCUCUGUGAUUUUUGCCUCCGACACUGCAUCCAAUAGACUAGCAUGUUGAUUAGGGAAAGCUAAAUUCAAUAAAAGACGACUGUAAGUGGGGUCACCACCUUGAGGGGUCAUGUUAGAAAAGUAGAUGAUAAGGUGGUAUUGAUAGAGUAUUGAAGUCUGGGCUCAAAUGGUUGCCCGGGGCCUUUCAAGACCAAUGACUGAUAAGAAUAGGUAAUGUUCAGGACAUAGAGUUUAGGAUUGGGGGACACUGUGAGUUAAGGGCCAUGACAGAAGUCUUCAUAAGUAAACUGUUAAUUGACACAAGCUGCUACCUGCCCAGGCUGGAAUGCACUUGGAUGCCAGAGAUUUUGAUUUCUUCAUGUGAAAUAAGUUGCGGAGGUCAGAGGUCAGAAAACAAGGUGUCUGCAGGACCAACCUCUCCUCUGGAUGCUCUAGGAAACGAGUAGAAUUAAGUGAAUUGAUUAUCAUAUCUAACCUAUGUAUUGUGCUUCAAGUGUGCUUGUACCAGCUUUUUCUGUUUAGAAAUGCUUGAGUGUCUCCAUUGUCAAAACGAUCAGAAGGCAGUAAUUGUAUUUCCAAUGUGAGGACAAACAAUACUAGAUA